rnacentral:rRNA from 1 species
CCGCUACCACGCAAGUGGAUGCCAAUCCCCAAAACCUCUCUCAGUUCGGAUUGAAGUCUGCAACCCGACUUCAUGAAGCUGGAUUCGCUAGUAAUCGCGCAUCAGCCACGGCGCGGUGAAUACGUUCCCGGGCCUUGUACACACCGCCCGUCAAGCCAUGGGAGCCGGGGGUACCUGAAGUGCGUAACCGCAAGGAGCGCCCUAGGGUAAAACUGGUGACUGGGGCUAAGUCGUAACAAGGUAAC